rnacentral:rRNA from 2 species
AGGUCUUGACAUCCUCUGAAAACCCUAGAGAUAGGGCUUCUCCUUCGGGAGCAGAGUGACAGGUGGUGCAUGGUUGUCGUCAGCUCGUGUCGUGAGAUGUUGGGUUAAGUCCCGCAACGAGCGCAACCCUUGAUCUUAGUUGCCAUCAUUAAGUUGGGCACUCUAAGGUGACUGCCGGUGACAAACCGGAGGAAGGUGGGGAUGACGUCAAAUCAUCAUGCCCCUUAUGACCUGGGCUACACACGUGCUACAAUGGACGGUACAAAGAGCUGCAAGACCGCGAGGUGGAGCUAAUCUCAUAAAACCGUUCUCAGUUCGGAUUGUAGGCUGCAACUCGCCUACAUGAAGCUGGAAUCGCUAGUAAUCGCGGAUCAGCAUGCCGCGGUGAAUACGUUCCCGGGCCUUGUACACACCGCCCGUCACACCACGAGAGUUUGUAACACCCGAAGUCGGUGGGGUAACCUUUUUUUGGGA